rnacentral:rRNA from 1 species
ACGAUGAACCACCUUCGGGUGGGGAUUAGUGGCGAACGGGUGAGUAACACGUGGGCAAUCUGCCCUGCACUCUGGGACAAGCCCUGGAAACGGGGUCUAAUACCGGAUACUGACCCUCGCAGGCAUCUGCGAGGUUCGAAAGCUCCGGCGGUGCAGGAUGAGCCCGCGGCCUAUCAGCUAGUUGGUGAGGUAAUGGCUCACCAAGGCGACGACGGGUAGCCGGCCUGAGAGGGCGACCGGCCACACUGGGACUGAGACACGGCCCAAACUCCUACGGGAGGCAGCAGUGGGGAAUAUUGCACAAUGGGCGAAAGCCUGAUGCAGCGACGCCGCGUGAGGGAUGACGGCCUUCGGGUUGUAAACCUCUUUCAGCAGGGAAGAAGCGAAAGUGACGGUACCUGCAAAAAAAGCGCCGGCUAACUACGUGCCAGCAGCCGCGGUAAUACGUAGGGCGCAAGCGUUGUCCGGAAUUAUUGGGCGUAAAGAGCUCGUAGGCGGCUUGUCACGUCGGUUGUGAAAGCCCGGGGCUUAACCCCGGGUCUGCAGUCGAUACGGGCAGGCUAGAGUUCGGUAGGGGAGAUCGGAAUUCCUGGUGUAGCGGUGAAAUGCGCAGAUAUCAGGAGGAACACCGGUGGCGAAGGCGGAUCUCUGGGCCGAUACUGACGCUGAGGAGCGAAAGCGUGGGGAGCGAACAGGAUUUAGAUACCCUGGUAGUCCACGCCGUAAACGGUGGGCACUAGGUGUGGGCAACAUUCCACGUUGUCCGUGCCGCAGCUAACGCAUUAAGUGCCCCGCCUGGGGAGUACGGCCGCAAGGCUAAAACUCAAAGGAAUUGACGGGGGCCCGCACAAGCGGCGGAGCAUGUGGCUUAAUUUGACGCAACGCGAAGAACCUUACCAAGGCUUGACAUACACCGGAAAACCCUGGAGACAGGGUCCCCCUUGUGGUCGGUGUACAGGUGGUGCAUGGCUGUCGUCAGCUCGUGUCGUGAGAUGUUGGGUUAAGUCCCGCAACGAGCGCAACCCUUGUCCCGUGUUGCCAGCAGGCCCUUGUGGUGCUGGGGACUCACGGGAGACCGCCGGGGUCAACUCGGAGGAAGGUGGGGACGACGUCAAGUCAUCAUGCCCCUUAUGUCUUGGGCUGCACACGUGCUACAAUGGCCGGUACAAUGAGCUGCGAUACCGCGAGGUGGAGCGAAUCUCAAAAAGCCGGUCUCAGUUCGGAUUGGGGUCUGCAACUCGACCCCAUGAAGUCGGAGUCGCUAGUAAUCGCAGAUCAGCAUUGCUGCGGUGAAUACGUUCCCGGGCCUUGUACACACCGCCCGUCACGUCACGAAAGUCGGUAACACCCGAAGCCGGUGGCCCAACCCCUU